UACGGAGGAUGCGAGCGUUAUCCGGAUUUAUUGGGUUUAAAGGGUGCGUAGGCGGAUCGUUAAGUCAGUGGUCAAAUUGAGGGGCUCAACCCCUUCCCGCCAUUGAAACUGGCGAUCUUGAGUGGAAGAGAAGUACGCGGAAUGCGUGGUGUAGCGGUGAAAUGCAUAGAUAUCACGCAGAACCCCGAUUGCGAAGGCAGCAUGCCGGCUUCCUACUGACGCUGAAGCACGAAAGCGUGGGGAUCGAACGGG
rnacentral:rRNA from 1 species